UGAUUGGCAAAAUUCGCAGUCGCCAUUGUAGACUUUCGCAAGCAAGAUUCUUUCCAAGAUCAUUUAGAACCUAAAAGAAAAAUGCAUUUUUUCGUUUUUACGUUAUUUCUUAGCAUGGUCGUAGUUCAAGGAUACGCCCAAUAUCAACCGUACUACGACGGCAGUGUGUAUCCGUAUCCAAGCUAUCCAUUGACUGAUGGCCGAUCGCCGAAUGUGGGCAAUGACAAUCGUCUUUUCUUUUCACCGUAUUUAACAUCCACCACGACGACAACAACAACAACAACCACAACCUGCACUGUUAUUGGCUGCCAAUCCCUGUAAUACUAAUGGUCGUCGACGCAGAAGCUUCCUCCACGGUGACGAUGAUUCCAUCGAGCCAUCUCCUGUGAACAAGGUUGAAGCCACACCGCUCGCGGAAGCAGAUUUCGCAUCGAGAAUCGAACGCAAAGCUGCACCUCAACUUGCGUAUUGGCGUGGAGGAAUUGACUAUCCAUCAUACCAACCUCUGUCCACGUUCGGUCAGCGUCCGUUCGCCGCCGUGUACAAUCCGUACGUCCGCCGUCCGGUUAUUGCAGCCGAUCCGCGUUUCUUGCUGUAUUACGGUUUCACGACGACCACCACAUCCACGACGACUGCAACUUCCAGGUCAACACCAAUCUGUUCGCAACCAAGCGGCUUUCAAUCAAUGUUAAAUGGAAAGACCGUAGCCCGACCUUUUUCGUGUUACCGUUACUUUUUUUAAAUUUAUUCCCCGUUAACUUAUUGGUGGGGAACUUAAAGGCGGAAGGCCUGUCGUUAAUUUAAUAGCGCUUAAUUGCGGUUGAAUCGAAAUACACGAACUAGUAGUACUAUUACUCAA